rnacentral:rRNA from 1 species
GGCAUGGCGGGCAGCCUGAUCCAGCCAUCCCGCGUGUGUGAUGAAGGUCUUCGGGUUGUAAAGCACUUUUGGGUUGGGAGGAAGGGGCUUAUUCUAAUACGUUGCGGCUUUGACGGUUCCUGCAGAAUAAGCACCGGCUAACUCCGUGCCAGCAGCCGCGGUAAU